CUUCAUCAUGUUCAUCUCCAACAUCAUCACCCACACUAAAUCAUCCCCAGAAACGUACCCAAACCCAAAUGUUCACUAGAUAGGAAGACAACAAAACCCAAUUAGCAGUAAUAACAGGUCAUUUAAGAGAAGAACCUAUGACUCUCAAAUUCAAUCUGCAUAGAAAAUUAGAAUUAGAAACCCACAAGGAAAAAAUCAAUCCCACAAAACUAUAAAAAUUUAAAGAAAGACACAAACUUUGUUUCACCCAAGAGGCUCAAAUAGAGAAAGACGCGAGCUUUGUACAUGGAUCUUGUCAUAAUUGCAAACGGUGAAGACGAACUAGAGUGAUUCUACCGUGAGCCUUCUCAAAUCGGAGUCUAUCUUCGCCAGAGAAACCCUAACUGUGGAUGCACCACCACGACAGCAUCUGCAAAGCGAGAACCCCCAACCAUGGAUGCGCCUUCUCGGUCUCUUCUCUUCUUCUACCUCCAACCAGGUUGGGCACCUUCUCUUCCUUCUCGAUUUCUUCUCUGCUCCGACUCUCUUUCCAUGACGGUGUCAAUGAAAACGACACCAAGUUCGCUCCUUUCCGUCUUCCACUGCCAGAUCUGCGUUUCAAUUUUUGGGUUUCUUUUUAUCAAACACUCUCUGCUAGUGUUUAUUUUUCAAACAUUCAUUUCUCCUUCUUCUCAUGCUUUGAUUUUGUGAUUGUGUUCUUCUUAAAGCUACUGGCUUUAAUCUCAUUGCAUUUCCAUCUACAUUUUGAUUACUUCCAACACUAUAGUUUUGGAGAAAGUGUUGGUUCUAUUUGCUCAAUAAGCAAUUGGGUUUUCUCAUUGCGUGUUUGGCUCUGUUGUUCUUUAAAUUUUAUUUAAUAUUAAGGUUUCUCAACAUUUACAAUUGUUAUUUAUUGGUGUUGCGUCAAUUUUUAAUAUUAAGGUUUGAUUCUGGUGUUGUGUUUAGAAAUAAGAAAUUAAGGGUGAGAAUUUCAUGUUUCUGGGGAUGGUUUAGUGAGGGUGAUGAUAUUGGUGAAGAACAUGAUGAAUAUGAUGAAGAAGUUGAUGAAUAUUUCUGGAAAUUCCAGAAACCGUUAGAUUUUUGACAGAAAGGUGACGGAAAACCAAAAGUGCUAACGGAGGUAAACGUGUGGGACCAAAACUGUAAUUUUUAAAGUCUAGGGACCAUUUUUGCACAAAGAGUAUAAGUGGGGGACCAAAAGUGCAUUUAAGCCUUCAUAUAAAUAGAAACCCUUUUGAAAACUCUUCUUCUAGUCCCUCCCAAACCCAACCUCAGUGCUCCGUCCGCCACCAAUGUCCACGCACCUGCAUCCUAGCGACAGCAUCAAACUCACCAUGAUCGAGAACGCCGUCUUCGAUACACUUUGCGCCACCCUCCGCCGCUCCCGCCUCGAAACUCAGCUCCGGUCGCCGGCGGCUGGGUUCGCGACAAGCUUCUGGGGGAAAAUUGCUUGAGCAUUGAUAUCGUUCUUGACAAUAUAUUGGCCACUGAGUUUGUGUAUAAGGUCAGGGAGUACUUGUUGUCAAUUGGUCAAGAUGCACUGGAAAUCUCUGUUUUUGAAAGCAAUGCGGCGAGAGGUUGUCACGGUUGCCGCCAUGCUCCGGAGCUCCGCUCCAUCAAUCUUAGGCCCAGGGAUCCUCCAAAGUCGUGCUCACCAGUCCAAACAUUUGGAAACAGCGAGGAUGUGUCUGUUUGGUGUGUGGAUUCAUUUCGUUGACCUAAGGAGGGAAGAGUACACUGAUAAUAGCUGCAUUCCUUCUGAGCAAACAUUUCGCACACCAGAAGAGGACGUAUAUAGGAGGGAUUUGACAAUUAACAGUCUUGGCGUUUCUUACUUGGAUACUGCAUGGAACCUUAUCCAGUUAAUUGGAGCGUCAACCUUUACUGCUCGUGAGAGGAGAAAAUCAUUAUAUGCUGCUUUGUUUCUCCCACUUUGUCUUACAGAGAAAUGAAAGAUAAGAAGGGUUUCUCUUAAGAGAGUUUGAAGAUAACUGGCGAGUUGCACUGUUCAUAUCCACAAUAUUACAUUCUAUUGACAUAGAAGACACUGCGGACAAGUACUCACAGUCACAGUUGUGCGAACGAAGAGAUCUGUUUAAUACUGUGGAGAAUUCUAUAAUCAAACUAGUUGGAUAGAGCAAUGGCUUGGCAACUUGCCUAUCAAUCCGGAGUUGGGGAGGAAUGCAUUGAAUGGUUGAAGUUGGAGUGAGAAUAAAUUGAAAAUGAGGAAGAAGAGUAUAAACAAUAAAAGGAAAUGUAUUUUGAAUGUUAUGUAUGCAUUAUUUAAAAGUAUAGUAGAAGGUUAGAAAUGUACAUGCAAUAGAAUGAUUAGAUGUCAGUGUAAAUACAUUUGAACUACUAGUCUACUACAAACAUUUUGCCUAAGGUUUUACACCAUCUCUAAUUGUCAUGAAAUUUUUUC